AGUAGUUCCAGUUUUCAGUGUGUAAAACUUUGAAAUCAUCUUCAUCACCAGAAGAUGACUAAAAGUUGAAUUGCUCUGUAAAUCUUGUGGAUGAUGUCAUUCAUUUCUUUAUUCUCUAUAAAUACUGUAAAACUUGGCAACAGCUCUGUUUUUCUCUGAGCACUCUUGUUGUUUUCUCAACAAGAGUGGAAGCAGCAAUACUGUCAUUUCCCACAUUUUGAUUGCCUUUAUUUUAGUUCCUUUAUUUUAUUCCCUUGACUACGGUCUAAACACAACAUCCACUUCUGCUGUAAAAAUCAUUAAAGUAUGUUGUGAUUAACCUUCACAAUAAAUGGAAAAACUAUCUAAACUAUCUAAAUAGAUAAUUGAAAAAUGUUUGGAGAGAAUAAAGCGAUUGUCCUCAGUUUUCUUAUUGAAUGAGUUUAUGUUCUUAGUGUCAAUGGGGGGGAAAAUAACUUUCUAGAAUCAUUUAUAUGUCCUCCCUGCUCUUUGGAAACUCAGCUAUGAACGGGAAAUUCUCACUACAGAGUUUCAAAUAUUUGUGGUAUGAACAGGCUUUAACGCAAAUAUUUUAUAUGUAUAACAUAGUUCCCCCAGUGCAUUCCAAAUUAUACAAUACCUUGCAAAGUAUUCAUAUUCUUUUAACCAUUUCAUAUUUUGCUAGAUUGCAACUAAAACACUUCUAUGUAUUUUAAUGGGAUUUUGUGUGAUAGAGGAACGUAAAGCAGAGUGCAGAUGUGAGGUCGAAUUUUAAAACGAUGAAUAGUUGCCAACUGUUCUACUAUAGAGCUGAAAGUAUGUUUGUUGUCAUCAUGCCAGAAGGUGAAGCUGGCCUCAAAUCUCUAACUGGUUUGUUCUGCAUUCAGCUCUUUCCAUCGUCCCAUAGACUCUGACCAGCUAAAUCAACCCUACAGCAUGACGCCUCCACCACCUUGUUUCAGAAUGGAAAUUGUGUGCUCAGAAUAAUGCAUGGUGUUAGUUUUGCUUAACACAUGUCUAAAGAUUCUUCCAGAGCAGCUGUGGAUCUCUGCAGCUCCUCCAGAGUUACCACCGGCAUCUGUGAUUCUUCUCUGGUAAUGGUCUCCUUCCUGACCCAUCAGUGCAGUCGAGUGCUGCAUGUGAAACUCCUUGCAAUGUGCAGAACAAUUAAAUCUCUGCCGUGACAAGUGGUGCGUUCUCCUAUGCCCCCACUGGCCUACUAUCGACUCGCAGCUCUCUCUCACACCCCCACUCCCCCCUUCCCGCCUCCUGCUGUCUCAACAAUUAAAUCAGUCAAGCUGACUCUCUUUCCUGUGUGCUGGGGGCCAGCAGAGGGGAAGUACACAAGGAAAGAAAAGCACUCCCUGAGUUCAAGUGCACAGGCUUUAAAGACACAGCUGGCUUCAGCAAACCUGACCAAUCGACGAGGGAAAAUCAGUCGUGGAAGGGCAGAAUAAUACACCACUGACAACGUGGUGGUGUACGUAGAUGCGGCCUGCUCCGAUUUUCUCAGCAACCCUUUCUGCAGCUCCAAGACUGUCCAUUUGUUCUCGGGUGAAGCAUCCGGUGGAACUGGUUGUGCAGAGCUCUGGCACAUGCUGUCCCAGAUACACACUCAGCAGCAGCAGCAGUGGAUCAGCGUGCCUCUCACUUUACCGCCUGUGACUUUAUCCGCUGCCUUUCCCCUCCAGCGCUCCUCCUCGCAGGACCGACUUCCUUUGUCCAUAAGGCAUGUUUUCCUUUCAAAGUGCUGAAUGUCAAGGGAUGAAGAACAGACAAAUGGUGUUUGGGGAGAAGAUAGGGAGGCAUCAAUGGAUAAAAUCUGACAUUACUGGAGUGCCGUGGAGAUGCCAGAGUGCAAAACGACUUUAAAAAAAAACACAAACGAGACUAAGAAUGAGGGAACGGAGAGGAAGAAUCAGAUUGGAGUCGGGAAAGAAGAAACUUUGGAAAAAAGCUGGCUUCAGUUCCAGCUUUACAAGGCGCAGGCCAUGAUGUAAGUGAUCUCAAGGUAACAUCUUUCCGGAAUAUUUCUGUGCAAUUUCUCGGCAUGAAAUAUUUUUACGCAAUACACAAACAGACACCAAACAGAUUAGACGGCUGUAUUAAUGACAAUGGCUCAUGGGAAUUUGGCCAGACUGACCCUCAGGGAAAAUAAUUAAUUUAGGAAGAAAGAAAAAAAAAAGAUGGAAGGAAAUAAGAGAGGUAGAAGCCAAAAAAAAAGAGGAAAAGACAAACAUCAGACUUUGGUUGCAGUCGGUGUGACUGUACAAUCUUUCCAGAUAAUUUAUGACCGUGCUGGAUAUUUUUUAUCUUUUGGGUGACAGGCAGGGGAUUAAAUAUGCACUCCGAAUGUCCA